UUUUAUGAAUUAUGCAUGUAUAAUAACAUACAGUAUACAUAGUACACACGUACAAUACUUGUGCAUUAUAAUUUUAAAAACCAAGGAUUAUACAAAUUAGUAUACAUAUAUGUAUAUAUAUAAAUAUUGAUGAGUGAGUGCGGAUAUUUAAAUGUUCGUACUACUUAUACGAUAUACUUGCAGUGACGCAGCCAGACGGUGAGAGGAGGGGCGUGGCACCGGUACCGUAUUUAAAAAAUAUUUUUAUCAGAAUCGUUUCGCGCUCGUAUAAGGCUAUUUCACUGCGUAUUUACACGGUAUAGUAGUUUUGUGUUUGUUUUUUUGUGGCCUUCCUUCGUUGAGAAAUCCUGGCUACGACAUUGCAGUGUACUAUCGUACUUAUCAACUGGCGAACCCGUUGCGUUAUUACAAAGAAUAAUAAAAAAAAAACAAUAAACCAGUAUGUUAUAACAUAACACACUCAAUAUAUUCGUGUAUAUUUUAUUAUAACGACAAUUUACAGUAUUAUUAUUAACGUUUACAAUAGGUUUUUACAUACACACACAAAGUACCUAUUGGAUAAAAUCAAUAGUUCUUUCUCGCUACUACUAUUGUUUUCAUACCAUUUAUAGUCUAUAUUAUCAUAGUAUAUGUAUAACGUAUUUAAUUUUUUAUUUUUUUUUUUUCGAAGUAAUUGACAGUCAAUACGCAAAAAAAAACAGCGUGAAAUGAUAUUAUAUUUUUCGUAACAUUAUCAC